rnacentral:rRNA from 1 species
UACGGAGGGAGCGAGCGUUAUCCGGAUUUAUUGGGCGUAAAGCGUGCGUAGGCGGUUUAUUAAGUUUAAGAUAAAAGCCUGGGGCUUAACCCCAGUUCGUCUUAAAAACUGGUAGGCUUGAGUGCGGUAGAGGUAAAUGGAAUUUCUAGUGUAGCGGUGAAAUGCGUAGAUAUUAGAAGGAACAUCAGUGGCGAAGGCGAUUUACUGGGCCAUAACUGACGCUGAGGCACGAAAGCGUGGGGAGCAAAUA